UGCCAAUCAUGCAAGUCGAGCGAACUGAUUAGAAGCUUGCUUCUAUGACGUUAGCGGCGGACGGGUGAGUAACACGUGGGCAACCUGCCUGUAAGACUGGGAUAACUUCGGGAAACCGAAGCUAAUACCGGAUAGGAUCUUCUCCUUCAUGGGAGAUGAUUGAAAGAUGGUUUCGGCUAUCACUUACAGAUGGGCCCGCGGUGCAUUAGCUAGUUGGUGAGGUAACGGCUCACCAAGGCAACGAUGCAUAGCCGACCUGAGAGGGUGAUCGGCCACACUGGGACUGAGACACGGCCCAGACUCCUACGGGAGGCAGCAGUAGGGAAUCUUCCGCAAUGGACGAAAGUCUGACGGAGCAACGCCGCGUGAGUGAUGAAGGCUUUCGGGUCGUAAAACUCUGUUGUUAGGGAAGAACAAGUACGAGAGUAACUGCUCGUACCUUGACGGUACCUAACCAGAAAGCCACGGCUAACUACGUGCCAGCAGCCGCGGUAAUACGUAGGUGGCAAGCGUUAUCCGGAAUUAUUGGGCGUAAAGCGCGCGCAGGCGGUUUCUUAAGUCUGAUGUGAAAGCCCACGGCUCAACCGUGGAGGGUCAUUGGAAACUGGGGAACUUGAGUGCAGAAGAGAAAAGCGGAAUUCCACGUGUAGCGGUGAAAUGCGUAGAGAUGUGGAGGAACACCAGUGGCGAAGGCGGCUUUUUGGUCUGUAACUGACGCUGAGGCGCGAAAGCGUGGGGAGCAAACAGGAUUAGAUACCCUGGUAGUCCACGCCGUAAACGAUGAGUGCUAAGUGUUAGAGGGUUUCCGCCCUUUAGUGCUGCAGCUAACGCAUUAAGCACUCCGCCUGGGGAGUACGGUCGCAAGACUGAAACUCAAAGGAAUUGACGGGGGCCCGCACAAGCGGUGGAGCAUGUGGUUUAAAUUCGAAGCAACGCGAAGAAACCUUACCAGGUCUUGACAUCCUCUGACAACUCUAGAGAUAGAGCGUUCCCCUUCGGGGGACAGAGUGACAGGUGGUGCAUGGUUGUCGUCAGCUCGUGUCGUGAGAAUGGUGGGUUAAGUCCCGCACGAGCGCACCUUUGAUCUUAGUGCAGCAUUCAGUUUGGCCACUCUAAGUGACUGCGGUGACAACGUAGAAGUUAGGAAUGACGUCCAAAUCAUCUGAUGGCCCGCCUUAGUAGAAC
rnacentral:rRNA from 2 species